rnacentral:rRNA from 1 species
GACGGGGGCCCGCACAAGCGGUGGAGCAUGUGGUUUAAUUCGAUGAUACGCGAGGAACCUUACCUGGGCUCAAAUGUAUGUUGACGUAUUCUGAAAGGGAUACUUCUUCGGACAAUAUACAAGGUGCUGCAUGGUUGUCGUCAGCUCGUGCCGUGAGGUGUCGGGUUAAGUCCCAUAACGAGCGCAACCCCUAUCAUUAGUUGCCAUCAGGUCAAGCUGGGGACUCUAAUGAAACUGCCUACGCAAGUAGUGAGGAAGGUGGGGAUGACGUCAAAUCAGCACGGCCCUUACGUCCAGGGCUACACACGUGCUACAAUGGCCGGUACAGAGCGCAGCGAAGCCGCGAGGCAAAGCGAAUCGCAAAAAGCCGGUCUCAGUACGGAUUGGAGUCUGAAACCCGACUCCAUGAAGUUGGAAUCGCUAGUAAUCGCGCAUCCAGCAUGGCGCGGUGAAUACGUUCCCGGCCUU